GACGAACGCUGGCGGCGUGCUUAACACAUGCAAGUCGAGCGGUAAGGCCCUUUCGGGGGUACACGAGCGGCGAACGGGUGAGUAACACGUGGGUGACCUGCCCUCAGCUCUGGGAUAAGCCUGGGAAACCGGGUCUAAUACCGGAUAUGACUCCAUGACGCAUGUUGUGGGGUGGAAAGCCUUGUGCGGCUGAGGAUGGGCCCGCGGCCUAUCAGCUUGUUGGUGGGGUGAUGGCCUACCAAGGCGACGACGGGUAGCCGGCCUGAGGAGGCGACCGGCCACACUGGGACUGAGACACGGCCCAGACUCCGUACGGGAGGCAGCAGGUGGGGAA
rnacentral:rRNA from 1 species